UACGGAGGGUGCAAGCGUUAUCCGGAUUCACUGGGUUUAAAGGGUGCGUAGGUGGGCAGGUAAGUCAGUGGUGAAAUCUCUGGGCUUAACCUGGAAACUGCCGUUGAUACUAUCUGUCUUGAAUAUAGUGGAGGUGAGCGGAAUAUGUCAUGUAGCGGUGAAAUGCUUAGAUAUGACAUAGAACAUCGAUUGCGAAGGCAGCUCGCUACACUAUGAUUGACACUGAGGCACGAAAGCGUGGGGAUCAAACAGG
rnacentral:rRNA from 1 species